rnacentral:rRNA from 1 species
UACGAAGGGGGCUAGCGUUGCUCGGAAUCACUGGGCGUAAAGGGUGCGUAGGCGGGGCUUUAAGUCAGGGGUGAAAUCCUGGAGCUCAACUCCAGAACUGCCUUUGAUACUGGCGAUCUCGAGUCCGGGAGAGGUGAGUGGAACUGCGAGUGUAGAGGUGAAAUUCGUAGAUAUUCGCAAGAACACCAGUGGCGAAGGCGGCUCACUGGCCCGGUACUGACGCUGAGGUGCGAAAGCGUGGGGAGCAAACAGG